rnacentral:rRNA from 1 species
AGAGUUUGAUCAUGGCUCAGAACAACGCUGGCGGCAUGCCUAACACAUGCAAAGUCGAACGGAGACCUUCGGGUCUAGUGGCGCACGGGUGCGUAACGCGUGGGAAUCUGCCCUUGGGUUCGGAAUAACAGUUAGAAAUGACUGCUAAUACCGGAUAAUGUCUUCGGACCAAAGAUUUAUCGCCCAGGGAUGAGCCCGCGUAGGAUUAGCUAGUUGGUGAGGUAAAGGCUCACCAAGGCGACGAUCCUUAGCUGGUCUGAGAGGAUGAUCAGCCACACUGGGACUGAGACACGGCCCAGACUCCUACGGGAGGCAGCAGUGGGGAAUAUUGGACAAUGGGCGAAAGCCUGAUCCAGCAAUGCCGCGUGAGUGAUGAAGGCCUUAGGGUUGUAAAGCUCUUUUACCCGGGAUGAUAAUGACAGUACCCGCAGAAUAAGCCCCGGCUAACUUCGUG